AUUGAACGCUGGCGGCAGGCCUAACACAUGCAAGUCGAACGGUAACAGGAAACAGCUUGCUGUUUCGCUGACGAGUGGCGGACGGGUGAGUAAUGUCUGUGAAACUGCCUGAUGGAGGGGGAUAACUACUGGAAACGGUAGCUAAUACCGCAUAACGUCGCAAGACCAAAGAGGGGGACCCUCGGGCCUCUUGCCAUCGGAUUUGCCCAGAUGGGAUUAGCUUGUUGGUGGGGUAACGGCUCACCAAGGCGACGAUCCCUAGCUGGUCUGAGAGGAUGACCAGCCACACUGGAACUGAGACACGGUCCAGACUCCUACGGGAGGCAGCAGUGGGGAAUAUUGCACAAUGGGCGCAAGCCUGAUGCAGCCAUGCCGCGUGUAUGAAGAAGGCCUUCGGGUUGUAAAGUACUUUCAGCGGGGAGGAAGGGAGUAAAGUUAAUACCUUUGCUCAUUGACGUUACCCGCAGAAGAAGCACCGGCUAACUCCGUG
rnacentral:rRNA from 1 species